UACGAAGGGGGCUAGCGUUGCUCGGAAUCACUGGGCGUAAAGGGUGCGUAGGCGGGUCUUUAAGUCAGGGGUGAAAUCCUGGAGCUCAACUCCAGAACUGCCUUUGAUACUGAGGAUCUUGAGUUCGGGAGAGGUGAGUGGAACUGCGAGUGUAGAGGUGAAAUUCGUAGAUAUUCGCAAGAACACCAGUGGCGAAGGCGGCUCACUGGCCCGAUACUGACGCUGAGGCACGAAAGCGUGGGGAACACAAGAGUAG
rnacentral:rRNA from 1 species